UUGCCUACGGGAGGCAGCAGUGAGGAAUAUUGGUCAAUGGGCGGGAGCCUGAACCAGCCAAGCCGCGUGAAGGAAGAAGGCGCCAGGCGUCGUAAACUUCUUUUGUCGGGGAACAAAGGGCGCCACGUGUGGCGUUGUGAGUGUACCCGAAGAAAAAGCAUCGGCUAACUCCGUGCCAGCAGCCGCGGUAAUACGGAGGAUGCGAGCGUUAUCCGGAUUUAUUGGGUUUAAAGGGUGCGUAGGCGGAAUGCCAAGUCAGCGGUAAAAUCGCGGGGCUCAACCUCGCUCCGCCGUUGAAACUGGCG
rnacentral:rRNA from 1 species